UACGUAGGGACCAAGCGUUGUCCGGAAUCAUUGGGCGUAAAGAGCGUGUAGGCGGCUUGUUAAGUCUUGCGUGAAAUCUCGGGGCUCAACCCCGAGCGGUCGUGAGAAACUGGCAGGCUAGAGUGCGGGAGAGGAGAGUGGAAUUCCUGGUGUAGCGGUGAAAUGCGCAGAUAUCAGGAAGAGCACCCGUGGCGAAGGCGGCUCUCUGGAACGCAACUGACGCUGAGACGCGAAAAGCGUGGGGAGCAAACAGG
rnacentral:rRNA from 1 species